GGAUUGCCCCAGUAACGGCGAGUGAAGCGGCAACAGCUCAAAUUUGAAAUCUGGCCCCCAGGGCCCGAGUUGUAAUUUGCAGAGGAUGCUUUUGGCGCGGCGCCUUCCGAGUUCCCUGGAACGGGACGCCACAGAGGGUGAGAGCCCCGUCUGGUCGGACGCCUAGCCUGUGUAAAGCUCCUUCGACGAGUCGAGUAGUUUGGGAAUGCUGCUCUAAAUGGGAGGUAUAUGUCUUCUAAAGCUAAAUAUUGGCCAGAGACCGAUAGCGCACAAGUAGAGUGAUCGAAAGAUGAAAAGCACUUUGAAAAGAGGGUUAAACAGUACGUGAAAUUGUUGAAAGGGAAGCGCUCGUCACCAGACUUGCGCCCGGCGGAUCAUCCGGCGUUCUCGCCGGUGCACUUCGCCGGGCGCAGGCCAGCAUCAGUUCGCCGCGGGGGACAAAGGCGGCGGGAACGUGGCUCCCCCGGGAGUGUUAUAGCCCGCCGCGCAAUGCCCUGGGCGGACUGAGGUCCGCGCUCUGCAAGGAUGCUGGCGUAAUGGUGAUCAGCGACCCGUCUUGAAACACGGACCAAGGAGUCGUCCUCGUAUGCGAGUGUUCGGGUGUAAAACCCCUACGCGUAAUGAAAGUGAACGCAGGUGAGAGCUUCGGCGCAUCAUCGACCGAUCCUGAUGUUCUCGGAUGGAUUUGAGUAAGAGCAUACGGGGCCGGACCCGAAAGAAGGUGAACUAUGCCUGUGUAGGGUGAAGCCAGAGGAAACUCUGGUGGAGGCUCGCAGCGGUUCUGACGUGCAAAUCGAUCGUCAAACAUGGGCAUGGGGGCGAAAGA
rnacentral:rRNA from 1 species